rnacentral:rRNA from 1 species
AUUGAACGCUGGCGGCAUGCCUUACACAUGCAAGUCGAACGGCAGCGGGCCUUCGGGUGCCGGCGAGUGGCGAACGGGUGAGUAAUGCAUCGGAACGUGCCAUUGAGUGGGGGAUAACGUAGCGAAAGUUACGCUAAUACCGCAUAUUCUGUGAGCAGGAAAGCAGGGGACCGCAAGGCCUUGCGCUCUUUGAGCGGCCGAUGUCAGAUUAGCUAGUUGGUGAGGUAAAGGCUUACCAAGGCGACGAUCUGUAGCGGGUCUGAGAGGAUGAUCCGCCACACUGGAACUGAGACACGGUCCAGACUCCUACGGGAGGCAGCAGUGGGGAAUUUUGGACAAUGGGCGCAAGCCUGAUCCAGCCAUGCCGCGUGAGUGAAGAAGGCCUUCGGUUGU